rnacentral:rRNA from 1 species
CCUACGGGAGGCAGCAGUGGGGGAUAUUGCACAAUGGGGGAAACCCUGAUGCAGCGACGCCGCGUGUGGGAAGACGGUCCUCUGGAUUAUAAACCACUGUCCCCAGGGACGAAGAUGACGGUACCUGGGGAGGAAGCUCCGGCUAACUACGUGCCAGCAGCCGCGGUAAUACGUAGGGAGCGAGCGUUGUCCGGAAUUACUGGGUGUAAAGGGAGCGUAGGCGGGACUGCAAGUUGGGUGUCAAAUCUACCGGCUCAACCGGUAGCCGCACUCAAAACUGCAGUUCUUGAGGGAAGUAGAGGCAGGUGGAAUUCCUAGGGUAGCGGUGAAAUGCGUAGAUAUUAGGAGGAACACCAGUGGCGAAGGCGGCCUGCUGGGCUUUUACUGACGCUGAGGCUCGAAAGUGUGGGGAGCAAACAGGAUUAGAUACCCGAGUAGUC